rnacentral:rRNA from 1 species
GGGUUGUGAGGUUAAGCGACUAAGCGUACACGGUGGAUGCCCUGGCAGUCAGAGGCGAUGAAGGACGUGCUAAUCUGCGAAAAGCGUCGGUAAGGUGAUAUGAACCGUUAUAACCGGCGAUGUCCGAAUGGGGAAACCCAGUGUGAUUCGUCACACUAUCGUUAACUGAAUACAUAGGUUAACGAGGCGAACCGGGGGAACUGAAACAUCUAAGUACCCCGAGGAAAAGAAAUCAACCGAGAUUCCCCCAGUAGCGGCGAGCGAACGGGGAGCAGCCCAGAGUCUGAAUCAGCUUGUGUGUUAGUGGAACGGUCUGGAAAGUCCGACGGUACAGGGUGAUAGUCCCGUACACCAAAAUGCACAGGUUGUGAACUCGAAGAGUAGGGCGGGACACGUGGUAUCCUGUCUGAAUAUGGGGGGACCAUCCUCCAAGGCUAAAUACUCCUGACUGACCGAUAGUGAACCAGUACCGUGAGGGAAAGGCGAAAAGAACCCCGGCGAGGGGAGUGAAAAAGAACCUGAAACCGUGUACGUACAAGCAGUGGGAGCACCUUCGGGUGUGACUGCGUACCUUUUGUAUAAUGGGUCAGCGACUUAUAUUCUGUAGCAAGGUUAACCGUAUAGGGGAGCCGCAGGGAAACCGAGUCUUAACUGGGCGUUAAGUUGCAGGGUAUAGACCCGAAACCCGGUGAUCUAGCCAUGGGCAGGUUGAAGGUUGGGUAACACUAACUGGAGGACCGAACCGACUAAUGUUGAAAAAUUAGCGGAUGACUUGUGGCUGGGGGUGAAAGGCCAAUCAAACCGGGAGAUAGCUGGUUCUCCCCGAAAGCUAUUUAGGUAGCGCCUCGUGAACUCAUCUUCGGGGGUAGAGCACUGUUUCGGCUAGGGGGUCAUCCCGACUUACCAACCCGAUGCAAACUACGAAUACCGAAGAAUGUUAUCACGGGAGACACACGGCGGGUGCUAACGUCCGUCGUGAAGAGGGAAACAACCCAGACCGCCAGCUAAGGUCCCAAAGUCAUGGUUAAGUGGGAAACGAUGUGGGAAGGCACAGACAGCCAGGAUGUUGGCUUAGAAGCAGCCAUCAUUUAAAGAAAGCGUAAUAGCUCACUGGUCGAGUCGGCCUGCGCGGAAGAUGUAACGGGGCUAAACCAUGCACCGAAGCUGCGGCAGCGACACUAUGUGUUGUUGGGUAGGGGAGCGUUCUGUAAGCCUGCGAAGGUGGCCUGUGAGGGCUGCUGGAGGUAUCAGAAGUGCGAAUGCUGACAUAAGUAACGAUAAAGCGGGUGAAAAGCCCGCUCGCCGGAAGACCAAGGGUUCCUGUCCAACGUUAAUCGGGGCAGGGUGAGUCGACCCCUAAGGCGAGGCCGAAAGGCGUAGUCGAUGGGAAACAGGUUAAUAUUCCUGUACUUGGUGUUACUGCGAAGGGGGGACGGAGAAGGCUAUGUUAGCCGGGCGACGGUUGUCCCGGUUUAAGCAUGUAGGCGGAGGUUCCAGGUAAAUCCGGUACCUUUUAACGCUGAGGUGUGAUGACGAGGCACUACGGUGCUGAAGUAACAAAUGCCCUGCUUCCAGGAAAAGCCUCUAAGCAUCAGGUAACAUUAAAUCGUACCCCAAACCGACACAGGUGGUCAGGUAGAGAAUACCAAGGCGCUUGAGAGAACUCGGGUGAAGGAACUAGGCAAAAUGGUGCCGUAACUUCGGGAGAAGGCACGCUGGUGUGUAGGUGAAGUCCCUGCGGAUGGAGCUGAGACCAGUCGAAGAUACCAGCUGGCUGCAACUGUUUAUUAAAAACACAGCACUGUGCAAACACGAAAGUGGACGUAUACGGUGUGACGCCUGCCCGGUGCCGGAAGGUUAAUUGAUGGGGUUAUCCGUAAGGAGAAGCUCUUGAUCGAAGCCCCGGUAAACGGCGGCCGUAACUAUAACGGUCCUAAGGUAGCGAAAUUCCUUGUCGGGUAAGUUCCGACCUGCACGAAUGGCGUAAUGAUGGCCAGGCUGUCUCCACCCGAGACUCAGUGAAAUUGAACUCGCUGUGAAGAUGCAGUGUACCCGCGGCAAGACGGAAAGACCCCGUGAACCUUUACUAUAGCUUGACACUGAACAUUGAGCCUUGAUGUGUAGGAUAGGUGGGAGGCUUUGAAGCGUGGACGCCAGUCUGCGUGGAGCCAACCUUGAAAUACCACCCUUUAAUGUUUGAUGUUCUAACGUUGGCCCGUAAUCCGGGUUGCGGACAGUGUCUGGUGGGUAGUUUGACUGGGGCGGUCUCCUCCCAAAGAGUAACGGAGGAGCACGAAGGUUAGCUAAUCCUGGUCGGACAUCAGGAGGUUAGUGCAAUGGCAUAAGCUAGCUUGACUGCGAGCGUGACGGCGCGAGCAGGUGCGAAAGCAGGUCAUAGUGAUCCGGUGGUUCUGAAUGGAAGGGCCAUCGCUCAACGGAUAAAAGGUACUCCGGGGAUAACAGGCUGAUACCGCCCAAGAGUUCAUAUCGACGGCGGUGUUUGGCACCUCGAUGUCGGCUCAUCACAUCCUGGGGCUGAAGUAGGUCCCAAGGGUAUGGCUGUUCGCCAUUUAAAGUGGUACGCGAGCUGGGUUUAGAACGUCGUGAGACAGUUCGGUCCCUAUCUGCCGUGGGCGCUGGAGAAUUGAGGGGGGGCUGCUCCUAGUACGAGAGGACCGGAGUGGACGCAUCACUGGUGUUCGGGUUGUCAUGCCAAUGGCACUGCCCGGUAGCUAAAUGCGGAAGAGAUAAGUGCUGAAAGCAUCUAAGCACGAAACUUGCCCCGAGAUGAGUUCUCCCUGAGACUUUAAGUCUCCUGAAGGAACGUUGAAGACGACGACGUUGAUAGGCCGGGUGUGUAAGCGCAGCGAUGCGUUGAGCUAACCGGUACUAAUGAACCGUGAGGCUUAACCUUACAACGCCGAAGCUGUU